rnacentral:rRNA from 1 species
UACGGAGGGUGCAAGCGUUGUUCGGAAUUACUGGGCGUAAAGGGCGUGUAGGCGGUUAGGCAAGUCAGGUGUGAAAUCCCUUGGCUCAACCAAGGAAGUGCGCUUGAAACUGCUUAACUAGAGUACAGGAGGGGAAAGUGGAAUUCCCAGUGUAGAGGUGAAAUUCAUAGAUAUUGGGAGGAACACCGGUAGCGAAGGCGGCUUUCUGGCCUGAUACUGACGCUGAGACGCGAAAGCGUGGGGAGCAAACAGGAUUAGAUACCCCCGUA